GGAAGUUCACUGUUGUAGUUAUACUAUAGAAAGCUAUCAAGUCUGUGAUUUGAUAGAGGUUUGAUUAUUUGGGGUAUUUAUACCUAAAUCGACCACCAUUAUAUUAUAGAAGCCAAGUGUUGGAAAAGAUGGUGAAGUUGAAGAGAAUGUUGGUGAGAAGGAGGUGGUAUGAUGGAGUGGAGGAGUGUUGGAAAAAUCAUGGGGAUGAUGAUGACGAUGACGAUGAUGACGAUGAUCCUCCUGAUGUGGCACCUGCAGCUUCACUGCAAUCCUCCAUUUGCUCUCCACCAGAUGCAGGAAAUAUAUUGGAGAAAGAGGAUUAUAGCCUAAACAACUAUAAUAUAUAAGAAAAAACAAGUUGAAAAUUUAUAGCAAAAAGCAAAGAGAGAUGUAUUUUCCAAAUAUUGCUGAUCUACCUUUGGACUAAGAUUAGAGAAGGCAAUUUUGAAGUCUAUAUUAUAAUGUAAUUAAGAUUAAAGCUAG